AGCGAACGCUGGCGGCAGGCUUAACACAUGCAAGUCGAGCGGGCAUCCUUGUGGUGUCAGCGGCAGACGGGUGAGUAACGCGUGGGAACGUGCCCUUCGGUUCGGAAUAACUCAGGGAAACUUGAGCUAAUACCGGAUACGUGCGAGAGCAGAAAGGUUUAUCUGCCGAAGGAUCGGCCCGCGUCUGAUUAGCUAGUUGGUGAGGUUAUGGCUCACCAAGGCGACGAUCAGUAGCUGGUCUGAGAGGAUGAUCAGCCACACUGGGACUGAGACACGGCCCAGACUCCUACGGGAGGCAGCAGUGGGGAAUAUUGGACAAUGGGGGCAACCCUGAUCCAGCCAAGCCGCGUGAGUGAUGACGGCCUUAGGGUUGUAAAGCUCUUUUCUCCGGGACGAUAAUGACGGUACCGGAGGAAUAAGCCCCGGCUAACUUCGUG
rnacentral:rRNA from 1 species